UACGUAGGUGGCGAGCGUUGUCCGGAAUUACUGGGCGUAAAGGGUGCGUAGGCGGCUUUUUAAGUGGGAUGUGAAAUCCAUGGGCUCAACCCGUGAAUUGCAUUCCAAACUGGAAAGCUUGAGUGCAGGAGAGGAAAGCGGAAUUCCCAGUGUAGCGGUGAAAUGCGUAGAGAUUGGGAGGAACACCAGUGGCGAAGGCGGCUUUCUGGACUGUAACUGACGCUGAGGCACGAAAGCGUGGGGAGCAAACAGG
rnacentral:rRNA from 1 species